rnacentral:rRNA from 1 species
UACGUAGGGUGCAAGCGUUGUCCGGAAUUAUUGGGCGUAAAGCGCGUUCAGGCGGUUUGGCAAGUCGGGCAUGAAAUCUCUCGGCUCAACCGGGAGAGGUUGUCCGAUACUGCUGGACUUGAGGGCAGUAGAGGGUGGUGGAAUUCCGGGUGUAGUGGUGAAAUGCGUAGAUAUCCGGAGGAACACCAGUGGCGAAAGCGGCCACCUGGACUGCACCUGACGCUGACACGCGAAAGCUAGGGGAGCGAACGGG